AAGUCUUCCUUUAUACCAAUAAGUUCAUUUUCUAUUCCUUGUAUUACUCGAUACUGACAGUAUGUCAUACUGCCACAAAACAUUUUGCAUUUGUAAAUAUUUAUAUUAACUAAUAAGCAAUACUUGUAUGUAAAGUCAUCCUAAUAAAGUAAUUUGUUACUGUUGCUGUUACUGUUUCCUAUAGAAAUAAAAAUUGGGAAUUGAAAUUGAGGGACGGGAAUGAUACAGAUAGCAAAUUUUGGAACCAGGGCAGUGGUACGAUACAAAGCCAACCAAGGGGGAAGACCCUGCAAAUGAGGCUACAUUCCGCUAUCAAAGUUCUUUCAUAAAUUAUUUUGGGGGCACCCCCUACACCUGGUGUCUGUCCCUGACCAAAAUUGGCUACUUAUUCAUGCAGUUACUCUCUCUUUCUAUUCUUUUUCUUUCUUUCCUUUCUUUCCCCCUUUUUCUUCCCUCCUUUUUUCUUUCUGCCUGCAUAAAAAAUUUUCUGGGACCAAUGGUCCUGUUGUCCACUAUAUUUUCCACCCCUGGCAUUUGUGGUUGAAUUUUACCUUAAAUUGAAGCUUAUAUUACGUAUAACAACAACCCUAACAUAUAUAUGUUUGGGAAAUUGGUAAUUUUGUAAUUAAAAGUGAUAUUUUUAGCGGAUUGUCCAUUUGUAAAAAUAUUCAUAAAAAAUUAUCGUGUUAGCAUGGCAACUAAACUACUUUAGACACAGUAGUAACAGUACUUCAUGUUCGGAAAAUACAAUGGUUUUU